rnacentral:rRNA from 1 species
GACGAACGCUGGCGGCGUGCUUAACACAUGCAAGUCGAACGGAAAGGCCCUGCUUUUGUGGGGUUCUCGAUUGCCGAACGCGUGAGUAACACGUGAGUAUCCUGCCCUUGACUUUGGGAUAACUUCAGGAAACUGGGGCUAAUACCGGAUAUGAUCUCCUGCUGCAUGGUGUGGGUUGGAAAGUUUCGGCGGUUGGGGAUGGACUCGCGGCUUAUCAGCUUGUUUGUGGGGUAGUGGCUUACCAAGGCUUUGACGGGUAGCCGGCCUGAGAGGGUGACCGGCCACAUUGGGACUGAGAGACGGCCCAGACGCCUACGGGAGGCAGCAGUGGGGAAUAUUGCACAAUGGGCGGAAGCCUGAUGCAGCAACGCCGCGUGCGGGAUGACGGCCUUCGGGUUGUAAACCGAUGUCGCCUGUGACGAAGAGUGAGUGACGGUAAUGGGUAAAGAAGCACCGGCUAACUACGUG